UAGGGAAUCUUCGGCAAUGGACGAAAGUCUGACCGAGCAACGCCGCGUGCGUGAAGAAGGUUUUCGGAUCGGAAAACUCUGUUGUUAGAGAAGAACAAGGACGUUAGUAACUGAACGUCCCCUGACGGUAUCUAACCAGAAAGCCACGGCUAACUACGUGCCAGCAGCCGCGGUAAUACGUAGGUGGCAAGCGUUGUCCGGAUUUAUUGGGCGUAAAGCGAGCGCAGGCGGUUUCUUAAGUCUGAUGUGAAAGCCCCCGGCUCAACCGGGGAGGGUCAUUGGAAACUGGGAGGCUUGAGUGCAGAAGAGGAGAGUGGAAUUCCAUGUGUAGCGGUGAAAUGCGUAGAUAUAUGGAGGAACACCAGUGGCGAAGGCGGCUCUCUGAUCUGUAACUGACGCUGAGGCUCGAAAGCGUGGGGAGCAAACAGG
rnacentral:rRNA from 1 species